rnacentral:rRNA from 1 species
UAAUACGUAGGCAGCGAGCGUUGUUCGGAGUUACUGGGCGUAAAGCGUGCGUAGGCGGUUUUGUAAGUUUGGUGUGAAAUCUCCCGGCUCAACUGGGAGGGUGCGCCGAAAACUGCAAGGCUGGAGUGUGGGAGAGGUAGGCGGAAUUCCUGGUGUAGCGGUGAAAUGCGUAGAUAUCAGGAGGAACACCUGUGGUGUAGACGGCUUACUGGACCAUGACUGACGCUGAGGCACGAAAGCGUGGGGAGCAAACAGGAUUAGAUACCCUGGUAGUCCACGCCCUAAACGAUGCAUACUUGGUGUGGGCAGUUCAUUCUGUCUGUGCCGGAGCUAACGCGUUAAGUAUGCCGCCUGGGGAGUACGGUCGCAAGGCUG